ensembl:lncRNA
GUUUGGCGUGCUGCAGUUCACGGGGUUGCAGGGAGUCCGACACGACUAAGUGACUGAGCAACCAUAUAUAUUUAAGCACAUGAUGCUUGGAGGCACCGACCAUAGAAAGCUUUAAAACCUGGCCGAUAAACACCUCCGAAGGAGCAGAGGCCGUGCCUGCCCCACGGCAGUGUUUUCAUCUAAACUUCUUCUUCAUAUUUCUCACGUCAGCACCGUUUCGACUGAAGAUCUCAAGACCAUGAUGGACAGAGAAAAGCACCUUCCUUACGUGAAAAGUAUCAACUCGUUUCUGCUCUUCAGCAUUGUGGAGAAGUGCAACAUGAGUCCUGUUGAAUACUUGGCAGCCGCCUUCCCAUACUUGAGUUGUUUGUCAUUUCUGGGGCUGCUGAUGCUGCUAUGAUCUCCCUUUUGGGAGAAAUUUACAGGCACAUGUUGACCCAGCUGAAUGGGAACAGGGAGCAACAGGAAUCUCAGGAACAAGGACCAUCGCCGACCAGAGAGGGUGAAUCUGCUCCUUCUCUGGACGGCACCCUCCGGCGAGCCGCUCAGCGCCCCGUCGGGCUGGCCACAGAAGGCUCUGUGACUCCAGUGCUGGAAACCCAGAUCCACUCCCAACCUGGCCUUGAAAUAAAUGUGCCUUUCCUUUCAGUCCUUUCUGGGAGUUGUAGUCAGCCGUGUGCUUUGUUGUUGGGCUCUCAGG